rnacentral:rRNA from 1 species
UACAGAGGUCCCGAGCGUUGUUCGGAUUCACUGGGCGUAAAGGGUGCGUAGGUGGCGAGGAAAGUCGGAUGUGAAAGCUCGGAGCUCAACUCCGAAAUGGCAUUGGAAACUACCUUGCUCGAGGGUUGGAGGGGGGACUGGAAUUUACGGUGUAGCGGUGAAAUGCGUAGAUAUCGUAAGGAAGACCAGUGGCGAAGGCGGGUCUCGUGGACAGUUCCGUGACGCUGAGGCACGAAGGUCAGGGGAGCAAACGGG